ensembl:lncRNA
ACUUUGCUGGUGACGUGAGGACACACCCUCUGUGAUGAAGAACAACAAGCUCUAACAAGCUGCGUCACCUGGAAGCUGAAGUGAAGCACGGAGCUCCUUUUCUACACGGACCUGCUGAGGACAGAAGAGAGCUGCUCACUGAGGAACUUCAUGUCUACAAGAUCAGCAGAGAGGAGCUGCUGUUGGUCUGAAUGAUGAAGAAGAGGAGCUCAGUCUGAUCUGGGGUCUGUGAGGACUGUUACUGAUGAGGAGGGGAAGGUAGCAGACGGAGGGGCACUAGGACCCAGCAGGGACCACAGAGCUCACCUGGGCCUUUGUUCCUGAAACACACCUGAG